AUGCUGCGUGCGCACCUUCGACUACCUCUGGGCGCGAUGCUGCACCGCGUCCCCGUAUCUGCCCUCCUCGUCGACAAGGCAAUGGCAAUGGCAAUGCCAACGGUGGUGAUGGGGGGCGGGUACCGCCCGCGGCGGAGCCUGCACGGCGGCGGCGGGGACUCGCCGAGCAAGUGGAGGAAGCCGGAGGCGGGGCGCCUGAAGCUCAACUUCGACGGGUCCUCCAGGCACGCGUCCCAGAGCGCGAGCAUCGGUGGCGUGUACCGGGACCACAAGGGCGAGUUCGUGCUGGGCUACGCGGAGCCGAUCGGUGCGGCGACGAGCUCCGUGGCCGAGCUCGCCGCGCUCCGGCGCGGGCUGGAGCUGGCACUGGAGAACGGGUGGAGCGGCGUCUGGGUCGAGGGCGACGACUUGUCGGCCGUGGAAGCCGCGCGGGGGAGCCACAGGCGCCCGCGCCUAGGCAGGGCGGAGGAGGACCUGAGGCUGUGGAAGGAGAUCGCCGAGCUGCUCCCGCUGCUCGGCGACGACAUGGCCGUGUCGCACGUGCGCCGGGGAGGGAACAGGGUGGCGCACGGGUUCGCGAAGCUCGGGCACAGCGUGCCGCGGCCGCGGGUGUUGCACUAG
rnacentral:rRNA from 1 species